GACGAACGCUGGCGGCGUGCUUAACACAUGCCAGUCGAACGGAAAGGCCCCUUUGGGGGUCCUCGAGUGGCGAACGGGUGAGUAACACGUGAGUAACCUGCCCUUGACUUCGGGAUAACUUCAGGAAACUGGGGCUAAUACCGGAUAGGAAUCCUUGCUGCAUGGUGGGGGUUGGAAAGCUUCGGCGGUUUUGGAUGGACUCGCGGCUUAUCAGCUUGUUGGUGGGGUAGUGGCUUACCAAGGCUUUGACGGGUAGCCGGCCUGAGAGGGCGACCGGCCACAUUGGGACUGAGAUACGGCCCAGACUCCUACGGGAGGCAGCAGUGGGGAAUAUUGCACAAUGGGCGGAAGCCUGAUGCAGCAACGCCGCGUGCGGGAUGACGGCCUUCGGGUUGUAAACCGCGUUCAGCAGGGGCGAAGCUUGUGGUGACGGUACCUGCAGAAGAAGCACCGGCUAACUACGUG
rnacentral:rRNA from 1 species